UGGCUCCCUGCUUUCUUUGUGUAAGGAUGAUAAAAAGGGUCUUUCUUGGGAAAGUGACUUUGGGAGUCUCCCUCGGAGAGGACACUCUACCGUAGGGACUUUCCCAACCGAGACCCUGACGGCUGUGAUGCAGGACUUCCCCAGCCAGAUGUUCAGGAAUUGGUGCUUCCUCGGAUUGCUGGUGCUUUGCAGCCUUCAGGUGUUCCACAGAAGUGCAUGAAAUACAAGGGUGUUUGUCAAGAUUAACCUUUCUAAAGAGGGCUGCACUCCUGAAUGCCAGCUGAGAAUCAUUUUGGAUCUUCUUCUGCGUGCUGAUUGCUUUGAGCAAAAAGAACCAAACUGCUGGCUUGAUAGUCUUUUCAAACAGUCCAUCAGAACUCAGAAACUCAGACAAGCUUCUUUGGAGAAAGUUCCCAUUGGAAAUUUCCAUAGGAAAGCUUUUACAGACCUGUUUGGUUUCCACAAGGAAUUCCAUCAUGAAGGUCAAGCUCUUUCCCUCUGCAUCUUCUUGUUGUCACACUUUGUUCUCGAGUUCCUGAUUCUAGGUGACUUAAACUCACUAGUUCCUGAAUAAUUGUCAUCACCUCCCUCUCUCAAGUGUUGUGCUUGGGGGUGGGGGAUGGAGCCAAGAUGGCGGAGUAAAAGCAGUGACUUGCUUGAGCUCUCCCCCAAACCAGCUCACACAGGUUGGAGAGAUGGGUUGUUGGAUUUUCAGUGUGAGCAUUUACACUUUGGAAAUCAGGAAAUGCUACAAAAUUAGGGUUUAGAUUUAUUGUUUUGUCGAUUGUCUAGAUCAGAGAGGUCAAAUUCAUGGUCUUCUGGCCCCAAGCAGCCCUCAAAACUUCCCAGUGGAACCAGAACAAGAUUAAACUGU